rnacentral:rRNA from 1 species
GAAUUUUGGACAAUGGGCGAAAGCCUGAUCCAGCAAUGCCGCGUGCAGGAUGAAGGCCUUCGGGUUGUAAACUGCUUUUGUACGGAACGAAAAGCUUUGGGUUAAUACCUUGGAGACAUUACGGUUCCGUAAGAUUAAGCACCGGAUAACUACGUUCCAGCAGCCGCGGUAAUACUUUGGGUGCACGCGUUAAUCGGCAUUACUGGGAGUAAAGCGUGCGCAGGCGGUUUUGUAAGACAGAGGUGAACUCCCCGGGCUCAACCUGGGAACUGCCUUUGUGACUGCAAGGCUAGAGUACGGCAGAGGGGGGUGGAAUUCCGCGUGUAGCAGUGAAAUGCGUAGAUAUGCGGAGGAACACCGAUGGCGAAGGCAACCCCCUGGGCCUGUACUGACGCUCAUGCACGAAAGCGUGGGGAGCAAACA